rnacentral:rRNA from 1 species
UACGGAGGGGGCAAGCGUUAUUCGGAUUUACUGGGCGUAAAGGGUGCGUAGGCGGCCGUGCAAGUCUGACGUGAAAUCUUCACCGCUCAACGGGAAGAGGUCGUUGGAAACUGCAUGGCUCGAGUAUGGCAGAGGCAAGCGGAAUUCCAGGUGUAGCGGUGGAAUGUGUAGAUAUCUGGAAGAACACCCGUGGCGAAGGCGGCUUGCUGGGCCAUGUCUGACGCUGAGGCACGAAAGCGUGGGGAGCAAACGGG